rnacentral:rRNA from 1 species
UACGUAGGGGGCAAGCGUUGUCCGGAUUUAUUGGGCGUAAAGAGCGUGUAGGCGGUUUGGUAGGUCCGCUGUGAAAACUCGAGGCUCAACCUCGAGACGCCGGUGGAAACCAUCAGACUAGAGUCCGGAAGAGGAGAGUGGAAUUCCUGGUGUAGCGGUGGAAAUGCGCAGAUAUCAGGAAGAACACCCGUGGCUAAGGCGGCUCUCUAGUACGGUACUGACGCUGAGACGCGAAAGCGUGGGAGCGAACAGG